UGCCUGCACCACCCUGUGGAGGCCGGGAGAGGACACUGGAUCUGCUGAAAUUAGAGGUUCAGAUGGUUGUGAACUAUCAUGUGCGUUCUGGGGACUGAAGCCCAGUCCUCUACAUGAGCAGCAAGUGCUCUUAACCACUGAGCCAUCUCUCCAGCUACAAAUUGUAGUCGAUUUCUGAAAGGAUGAUGUAUAUGGGUCUCAUGUCAUUCUUCUCUAUAUCCACAUAUUUGGGGGUCAUGAAUUUAAGAGGAAGCAUUUGGGGGGACCUGGGAGGAGUUGGAGGGUAGAGAUGAUGCAAAGACAGAGACACCACUCUAUUCAAAUAACAGCUGCCUUGCAAGUUGAGACCCAGCACAUCCUAAAACACAGGCCUAAUCACAGCUGGCUACCUUCUAACAAGGGCCUUUCCAAUAGAGUGACCAAAAUAAAGCUGCUCCUCCACAUUAGCCAAAUAUUUCUUUGCCUUGCUUCCAGAACUGCCUUAUGAAAACCUCCCCACCUCAGCCUCAUGUCCCUUUGCUGGAGCCCACACCACUUCUGGCUCGCUACUGUACAGCUCGUGAAUUCCUCCCAGUUCAAACAUAUUUCUUAAAAAUUCACUGUGGCCAAGUUUAUCUUACAAUAUGACAGUUUGUUGCCCAGCUGUAGGCAGAAACUGAUCCAAUCAAAGAUGUUCACUGGCCAGAUGCUACCUGCCACUGCAGCCCACAAGGAAACCCAUCAGGGUUACUUCAGUUUAGUCUUUGUUUUUGUCUGGGAGCUUUUGAGCAACCAUGUUACUGGUGUUUGGCAAGGCAAGCUCUAGGAAACACAAUUUAGUUGGUAAAGGAAAGGGCCUGAAACUCAGAUCUUAUUUCCACACCUUCCCCUGCUAUUAUGAAUCCCUGGGCAGAAUUAAAAUGCUCAAGAACCUUGAGUAAACAGAAUUAAGACUAAAAUUGAUAAAAUGCCCUCUGGUAUGAAUAUAGAUAAGCACUGGAUGGAAGUUCAAAUCUGUGAUGAGGCAAGUAGAAUCCAGCUAGAGAUCACAUCAGAAAACUCCAGAGUGGUCAGCUGCCCCAAAGAUAACGGGUUGCCACUGAGGAGGGUUGGGGACCUGCUGCAAUGCUGUGAGGAGGACUUCUGUGAAGCAGAAGAAGGGGAGAGACGAUCCCUGAGACUCAACCUUCAAGGAUUCAUGCUUGGUACUGCACUCUGUUGGGUUUUCCAUUCUACAGUGCAUCUGUCAGUUACCACAAUCAGAAGACCAGGGGCACGGAACAGAAACAUGUAAAGAAGCGAAGGCAUAUGUCGUCUAAUGCCUGGAUUUCUGGUGUAGAAAUUGCUCUCAUGGCAGCAAAUGGACUAGCCUGUGCUUGACUUAGGUCUCUCUUCAAAGCAUAGCACUCUAGCCCUGUUCAGCUCCACAGCAUAGCAGUCAACUAAAUCUGAAUAUUACUGAGCUCCAAGGCUUAUAUCUCUAUUCCCAUUAAAGGAACGUGUGGCCAAGAAA